GAUUUGAAAUUUGUAGCCUCUCAGUUCCGGAGACUUCAUAGCAAGCAACUCCGCCAUACUUUUAGGUUUUACUCGCAGCAAUGGAGAACCUGGGCGGCUUGCUUCAUACAAGCAGCAUGGCGCCGUCAUUGUAGGAAGAAGCUAGAGGAAUCCCUUUGCGAAGAAGAAAACAGAUUACAAGAUGCAUUAGCAAGGGGAGGUGGUAGCUCGCCAAGUUUGGGUGCUACUA
rnacentral:misc_RNA from 1 species